UAAGUUCAGAUUUAGGGUUUAGGGUUUACGUUUAGGGUUUAGAGUUGAUGUUUUAGGGUUUAAAUUUGAAGGUUUAGGGUUUAGGGUUUAUGGUUUAGGGUUUAGAGUUGAUGUUUCGGAGUUUAGGGUUUAAAGUUGAUGUUUCAUGGUUUAAGGUUUAGAGUUGAUGUUUUAGGGUUUAGAGUUGAUGUUUUAUGUUUAGAUUAGUUAACCGUAUGUUUUUUUGUCAAAGUUAAUCAAAAGGUUAUAAUUGUCUUUUACCCUUUAUUAAAGAUGAGGGUAAAAGUGGUUAGUGUAAACAUGAAAAAUGGUACUUUGAAAAU
rnacentral:lncRNA from 1 species